GGGCUUCUAUUUAAAAAUGCAAAUUCUGAUCUGUAGAUCUGUAAUGCAGCCUGAAAAUCUGUAUUUCUUACAAGCUCCUACGUGCUGCUGGUUAAGAAAUGAUCUUUGGGUAGCAUGCAUGUAGACUGCUUGUGUGCUAAGAAAUAAAAUGAUGAUGUGUCAAUGAACAAGUGCCUUUUAAGAAUUCACUUAGGGUGUUGAAGUGGCUCAAGAGGCAAAGAUGGCAGGGAACUGAGAUCGCUUGCUUUAGGGAAAUCCCUUAUGCAGAAUAAACCUAGUCCAGGUUCUAGGGGAGGGAAUAGGGGAACUGGGGAACUCCCUCAUCUAGGAAGCCUGCAGGUACCACCUGUACAUGCUAUGUGUUAUCUUCAUCAGUUGGCCUGUGACUUUUCAUGGAAGUUUGAUGUACUUCUUGCUGAAGGACUUGCUCAGCAAUGGGUAGUUGGAUUUUAUCAACAUAAAGUCUAUGACUCAUCCUGUCUUGAAUGAAAGUUUCUUUUAUUGGUAAAAGUAUUGAGUAUGUUCUCUUUCUGUCUCUCGCUCCAGUGCAGCCUCAAUUGAGUAGUGCAUGCCCUAAGCCUUGGAAGCAAACUUGUAAACAAUUUAGGGUUUUCACCUGUUGAUUUUUUCCUAAAUUAAAAAAAAAAUUAUAAAUGGGAGAGUUUGCAUUUAAAAAACAAUGUUGAAAAGUUUAAAAGUGUCACAUGUAACUUCAUAAUAUACUUUAUGUACAUAAAAAUGAUUGUACGUAAAUUUUGAAAAACUUUAUGGAAGUGUAACAUCAACUCCUUUUAGCACUGUCAUUUGUGUAGUCUUUAUUCCAGUCCUUUACCAUAGUUUUUUUCAUGUUAAUACAUACCUAGUACUUAUUUAUCUUUUAACUGGAAGCUUGUAGCUUUUGUCUACAUUUAACUCCUCCUCCCUGCACCCCUGGCUCUAUUAACCACAGAUUUGAUAUCUUCUUCUGUGAGUUUGUUUCUGAAGUGUAUAAUUGACCCACAAGACUGUUAGUUCCUAUUACACAACAUAAUGAUUUGAUAUUUGUAUACAUUUCAAAAUGAUCACCAUGAUAAAUCUAGUUAUGAUAUGUUACCCUACAAAGAUAUUAAUUACAUGGUUGUUGACUAAUUCCCCACACCGUGCAUUUCAUAUCUGUGAUUCCUUUAUUUUGCAACUGGAAAUUUGUACUUUUUAUUCGCCUUCACCUAUUUCAUUCCUCUUCCCACCACUCUCCUCUCUAGCAACUGCCUAUUCUUUGCAUCUAUAAAUCUAUUCCUAUUUUGUUAUGUUGUUCAUUUGUUUUUUUUAGAUUCUACAUAUAAGUGAACUCAUACAUUAUUUGUCUUUCUUACUCAUUUCACCUGGCAUAAUACCUUUUAGUUCCAACCAUGUUGCUGCAAAUAGCAUUAUUUCAUUUUUUUCAUGACUGAAUAGUAUUCUCGUGUGUGUGUGUGUGUGUGUGUGUGUGUGUGCAUGCCACAUCUUCUUUAUCCAGUCAUCUAUUUAUGAGCACUUAAGUUUCUUUUAUAUCUCAGCUAUUGUAAAUAAUGUUGCAGUGAAUAUAGAGCUGCAUAUAUCUUUUCUAGGUAGUGUUUUUGUUUUCUUCAGAUAAAAGCACAGGAGUGGAAUUGUUGGAUCUUUUGGUAACUUUAUUUUUAAUUUUUUGAGGAAUCUCCAUGUUGUUUUCCAUGGCGGCAACACCAGUUUACAUUCCCACCAGUAAUGCCCAAGAGUUCCCUUUUCUCCACAUCCUGAUCAACACUUAUUUUGUUAUCUUUGAUAAUAGUCAUCCUGACUGGUGUGAAGUAAUCACUGUGGUUUUGAUUUGCAUUUCUCUGAUAAUUAGUAAUAUUGAGCAUCUUUUUAAAUGCACCUGUUGGCCAUCUAAAUCUUCUUUGGGAAAAGAGAUCCUCUAUUCAGAUCACCUUUGCAUUUUUCAGUCAGGUUGUUUGUUUUUUGAUGCUGAAUUGUGUGGGUUCUUUUUAUAUUUUGGGUAUUAACCUCUUAUCAGAGGUAUGAUUUGUAAAUAUCUUCUUUCAUUCAGUAGGUGGCCUUUUUAUUUUAUUGAUCCUUUGCUGUGUAGAAUCUUUUAAGUUUGAUGUCCCAUUUGUUAAUUUCUGCUUUUAUUUCCCUUGUCUGAGGAGACACAUCCAACAAAAUAUUACUAAGAUUGAUGUUAAUGAGCUUAUUGCCUGUGUGUUCUUCAAGAAGUUUUAUGGCUUCAGGUCUAACUUAAUCCUUUUUGAAUUUAUUUUUGUGCAUGAUAUGAGAGAGUAGUCCAGCUUGAUUCUUUUGUAUAUAGCUGUCUAGUUUCCCCAAUUGUCUUUUCCACAAAGUAUAUUUUCACCUCUUUUGUUGUAGACUAAUUGCCCAUAUAAGUGUGGGUUUAUUUCUGGGCUGUUUUGUUCCAUUAAUGUAUAUGUCUGUUUUGUGACAGUACCAUCAUGUUUUGAUUACUGUAGCUUUGUGGUAUAGUUUGAAAUGAGGAAGUAUGAUACCUCCAAGUCUACUUUCUCAAAACUAUUCUGGGUAUUUGGGGUCUUUUUUGUUUCCAAAUAAAUGUUAAAAUUAUUUGACCUAGUUCUGUGAAAAAUACAGAAUUCUGUAUUUUUACUGUUGCUGUUUGUUUUGUUUUUGCCACCCCAUGGCAUAUGGAGUUCCUGGGCCAGGGAUCAGAUCUGAGCUGCAUUUGUGACCUUCUCCACAGCUGUGGCAACGCCUGAUCCUUUAAUCCACUGUGCUGGGCCUGGGGUGGGAACCUCUGUCCUGGCAAUGCAGAGGUAUCACCAAUUGUGUUCUACCACAGUGGGAACUCUGCCACUGUAUUUUGAUUGCAUUGAAUCUGUAGAUUGCCUUGGGUAGUAUAGGUCAUUUUAACAAUAUUAGUUCUUCCAGCCCUUGAACACAAUAUAUCUUUCCAUCUGUUUGUGUUGUCUUCAAUUUUUUUCAUCAAUAUCUUAUAGUUUUCUUGGUCCAGCUUUUUUAACUCCUUAGUUGGAUUUACUCCUCCAUAUUUUAUUCUUUUUGAUGUGACAAUAAAUAGGAUUAAUUACUUAAUUUUUCCUUCUGAUAAUUUGUUGUUAGUGUAUAGAAAUGCAGUAGAUUUUGGCAUGUUAAUUUUGUAUCCUGUGACUUAACCAAACUCAUUGAUGAAUUCUAGUACUUCUUUGGUGGCAUUUUUAGGGUUUCUUAUGUAUAAUAAACACCAUGUCAUCUACAAACAAUGACAGUUUUACUUUUUCCUUUUCAAUUUGGAUUCCUUUUAUUUUGUUUUUCCUUGUCUGAUUGCUGCGGCUAAGACUUCUAAUACUACGUUGAAUUAAAGAGUCAGAAGAUUAGGCAUCCUUGUCUUAUUCCCGAUCUUAGAGGAGAUGCUGUCAGCUUUUCACUGUUGUGUCUUUUGGCUGUGGGCUUGUCAUUAUUAUUGUCAUUAUUAUAGCCUUUAUUGUGUUGAAGUAUAUUUCUUCUAUAUCCACUUUAUUGAGAGUUGGAUUCAAUGUAAAAUGUAUGUUGAAUUUUGCAAAAGUUUUUUCUGUAUCUACUGAGAUGAUUAUAUGAUUUUUAUUCUUCUGUUUGUUAAUUUGGUGUAUCACAGUGAUUAAUUUGUGGUUAUUGAGUCAUCCUGCAACUCUGGAAUAAUCCCACUUGUUUGUGGUGGAUGAUCCUUUUUAUAUACUGUUGAAUUUGGUUUGGUAAUAUUUUGUUGAGGAUUUUUGAAUCUGUGUUCAUUAGGGAUAUUACCCUGUAAUUUUCUCUUUUUUAUGUGAUGUUUUUAUAUGGUUUUGGUGUCACAGUGAUGAAUCCAUAGAAUGAGUUUGGAAGCAUUCCUUCCUCUGCAAUUUUUUGGAAUAGUUUAAGAAAAGAAUAGAUGAUAACUGUUUGCUGAAUUUUUGGUAGAAUUCACCUGUGAAGCCAUUUGGUCCUGGACUUUUGUUUUUUGGGAGUUGAUUACCGAUUCAAUUUCACUACUUAUAAUUGAUCUGUUCAUAUUUUCUAUUUCUUGUUCAGUCCUGGGAGACAGUACCUUUCUAGGAAUUUGUCCGUUUCUUCUGUGUUGUGCUUUUAUUUGCAUAUAAUUGUUUGAGAUAAUUGCUUAUGAUUCUUUGUAUUUUUGUAAUAUUAAAUGUAACUUUUUCCUUUCUGAUUUUAUUGAUUUGGCUCCUCACUUUUUAUCUUUAUGCAUUGACUAAAGGUUUAUCAAUUUUAUCUCUUCAAAAAACUGUCUCCUAGUUUCAUUGAUCUUUCUAUUUUUUAAAUCUCUUUUUUCUGUUCUGAUCUUUAUGAUUUCUUUCCUUCUACUAACUUUACAGUUUUUCUUUCUUUGGCUUCUUUAGGUGUAAGGUUAGGUUGCUUACUUGAGAUUUUUUUGUUUGCUGAGAUAGGCUUGUAUCAGUAUAAAAUUUUUUCUUAGAACUGCUUUUGUUCCAUCCUGUUGAUUUUGGGUAAUCGUGUUUUCGUUUUCAUUUAUCUCCAGUUUUUUUUAUUUCUUCAGUGAAAUAUAUUUCUUCAGUGGUGGUUAAGAAGCAUGUUGUUUAGCCUCCAUGUACUUGUGUUUUUGCAGUUUUUUCCUAGUAGUUGAUUUCUUUUUUUAACUGAACUGUAGUUGAUUUACAGUACACACACAUACAUAUGUACAUACAUACAUAUAUACACACAGUUUAUCGGAUUCUCUUCCUUAAAGAUUAUUAGAAAAUAUUGAGUAUAGUUUCAUGUGCUAUAUAUACACUUGUAAUUGAUUUGUGCUCACAUAGUGUUGUGAUUGGAAAAGAUGCUUGAUUUGAUUUCAGUUAUCUUAAAUUUACUGAGACUUGUUUUAUGGUUUAGCAUGUGAUCUUUCCUGAAGAAUGUUCCAUGUGCUUUUAAAGGAGUGUAUUUUCUGCUGCUUCGGGGUGGAAUACUUUAUAUAUCAAUUGGGUUCAUCUGGUCUAAUGUGUCAUUGAAGGCCUUAUUGAUUUUCUGUCUGGAUGAUCUGUCCAUUGAUUUACAUGGGCGUUAAAGGCCUCUCCUGUUACUGUGUUACUGUCAUUUUUCCCUUUUAUAUCUUUAUUUACUUUAUAGUUUUAGGUGGUCCUAAGUUUUGUGCCUAUACGUUUACAAUUGUUAUAUCUUCUCAUUAGAUUAAUUCCUUUAUUAUGUGAUGUUCUUUCUUGUAACAGUUUUUGUGUUAAAGUCAAUUUUUUUCUGAUAUAAGUAUUGCACCUUGGCUUUCUUUUGAUUCCAUUUGCAUGGAAUACCUUUUUCCAUCCCUUCAUUUUCAGUCUUUUGAUCUGAAGAGAGUCUCUUUAAGCAGCAUAUGUGUGGGUCUCAUUUUUUGUGUCCAUUCAGCCACUCUUUGUCUUUUGAUUGGAGCAUUUAGUCCAAGUACAUUUAAAGUAAUUGUUGAUAAGUGUGUAGUUAUUGUCUUUUUGUAUUUGUUUUCUGGUUGUUUUCAUAAUUCUUUUUUGUUGCCUUUUUUUUUUGUUCUUUUCUCUUUAUUUGAUGACUAGCUUUAGUGUUAUUUUUGGAUUCCCUUCUCUUUUUUGCAUUGUAUUCUAGAUUUUUGGUUUGCGACUAACAUGAGGUUGUGUAUGUAUAAAUGCUUAUCACAUAUAUAUAAUUUUAAGUUGAUGUCCUUUUAGGUUCACAUAUGUUUUAAUGAGCCUGCAUUUUUACCUCAUCCCCCUCCCCAAGUUUAUUAUUUUUGAUGCUGUAUAUUACAGCUUUUUGUUUUGUGUAUCCCUUAGUUACUUGCAAUAGAUAUAGAUGAUUUUGCAGUUUUUGCUUUUUACUUUUUUACUAGCUUUAUAAGUGGUUGAGUUACAUUUUCACUGUAUAUUUGCCUUUACUAAUGAGAUUUUUCCUUUUGUAAUUUUUGUAGUUUUAGUUGUGGUCUUUUAUUUUUUGCUUAGACAAAUACAGACCAGGGGCCAGCCAUGCUUGGGUCUACCUGCUGAUAGGUGGAGUUGGGGCCCAGGGGCUUUCAGAACUAGUUCUGGGCUACUGGUGGAUAGAGCCAGGUUCUAGGUUCUCCACUAUAGGACCUUGGGUGUCUUGGAGCUGGUAUUUGCCCACUGGUGGGGAUGGGGGCGGUUUCAGACACAUUCAGCUGUGGGGUCCAGGUUGUUGUGAAGUUGAUGUUGAUCUGCUGGUGGAUGGGGCCAGGGCCCAAGGGGUCCUGAGGUUGGUACCCACCCACUGGUGGCUGAGUCCAGGUCCUGGGGCCACUUGUGGGUGGAUUUGUGCCAGGCACUCUUCUGGGCACUUUAUUUUUUAAUUUUUAUUAUUGCUUUUUAGGGCUGCACCCUUGGCAAAUGGGAGUUCUCAGGCUCGGGUCGAAUCCGAGCCUCAGCUGCAGGCCUACGCCACAGCCACAGCAACUCGGGAUCCAAGCUGCACCUGCAACCUACAUUACAGCUCAUAGCAAUGCUGGAUCCCUGACCUACUGAGCGAGGCCAGGUAUUGAACCCGCAUCCUCAUGGAUACUAGUCAGAUUUAUUUCCUCUUUGCCACAAUGGGAAUUCCAGCACGUCAUGUAUUUUAACUGAUGUAAUCCUCACAAUAGCCUUUAAGGAAACUGGUGCAGAGAGAGGGUUAAAAUCACAUUCCAACACGGAGCUGGGAUUCUGGCUGACUCCAGAGUCUACACUUCUAACAGUCUUUUUGUUGCUGAUUUUUAGAAGAAAAUAAAUGAAUAACACUCUUUUAAAUCCCCUUUUCCUAGUAUUUUUUUUAGAAUUUUUGGCUUUUAAAAUUCAAAUUUGUUAUUCUUCUUUUUAAAAAAAUUACCCUCAUUUUAUUCUAUUUCAAAAAUGAAGAACUACCCAAAUGCUUGUAAUCUUUUCUGAAUAAGAUAUUAAAAUUUGCAGUGGUUUAUUUUCUUUGUGAUUGGUUGCUGAACUCGUCUCUAAAUCUGCAUGUCACUCUAAAAAGUGAAAGUAGUAUCUGUUUCCUUUGAACCUGCAAAUUUUCAGUCCUUCAUUUCCUGCCCACACCUACCUACUCCCACCUUUCCAUGGUAGAUUUCCUCAUAUUAGAUUCAUUCUGUGUUUGUUAUUCUAACAUUUAGCAUUUUGAGGGAAAUUGACUGGGGUACUGACUUGUUUGGCCGGCAAAGAUGAUAAGAAACUAAGCCUUGGUCAUUAUUAUCAUAUUUAACAUGGAGAAAGUAAGAAUGUCAGUCGUAGAAUAACAAAUGUUAUUUUUUGUUGAAUAAUUUGUUUUUCAUUAAAAAUAUCAUUUGGGGGUUCCUGCACUGGCUCAGUAGGUUACGAACCUGACCAGUAUCCAUGAGGAUAAAGGUUUGAUCCUUGGCCUUGCUCAGAGGGUUAAGGAUCUGGCAUUGCUGUGAGCUGUGGUGUAUGCCGCAUCUGUGGCUCGGAUCCCACAUUGCUGUGGCUGUGGUAUAGGCUGGCAGCUGCAGUUCUAAUUCAACCCCUAGCCUGGGAACUUCCAUAUGCAGCAGGUGCAGCCCUAAAAANAAAAAAAAAAAAAAAAAAAAAAAAAAAAAAAA
rnacentral:lncRNA from 1 species